CCUACGGGAGGCAGCAGUGAGGAAUAUUGGUCAAUGGACGGAAGUCUGAACCAGCCAUGCCGCGUGCAGGAAGACGGCUCUAUGAGUUGUAAACUGCUUUUGUACAAGAGUAAACCUGAAUACGUGUAUUCAGCUGAAAGUACUGUACGAAUAAGGAUCGGCUAACUCCGUGCCAGCAGCCGCGGUAAUACGGAGGAUCCAAGCGUUUUCCGGAUUUAUUGGGUUUAAAGGGUGCGGAGGCGGAUUGAUAAGUUAGAGGUGAAAUGUCCGAUCGUAACUCGGGAACUGCCUCUAAUACUGUUGAUCGAGAGAGUAGAUGCGGUAGGCGGAAUGUAUGGUGUAGCGGUGAAAUGCUUAGAGAUCAUACAGAACACCGAUUGCGAAGGCAGCUUACCAAUCUAUAUCUGACGUUGAGGCACGAAAGCGUGGGGAUCAAACAGGAUUAGAUACCCUAGUAGUC
rnacentral:rRNA from 1 species